rnacentral:rRNA from 1 species
GAACUCGGCAAAUUGACACCGUAACUUCGGAAGAAGGUGUGCCCUGGUAGGUUGUAGCCGUACAGGCGAAGGCCGAAGGGGUUGCAAAAAAUCGGUGGCUGCGACUGUUUAAUAAAAACACAGCACUCUGCAAAGAUGAUGAAUCGACGUAUAGGGUGUGGCGCCUGCCCGGUGCCGGAAGGUUAAAUGAUGGGGUGCAAGCUCUUGAUUGAAGCCCCGGUAAACGGCGGCCGUAACAAUAACGGUCCUAAGGUAGCGAAAUUCCUUGUCGGGUAAGUUCCGACCUGCACGAAUGGCGUAACGAUGGCCACACUGUCUCCUCCUGAGACUCAGCGAAGUUGAAGUGUUUGUGAUGAUGCAAUCUACCCGCGGCUAGACGGAAAGACCCCGUGCACCUUUACUGUAGCUUUGCAUUGGACUGUGAUGGGAUCUGUGUAGGAUAGGUGGGAGCCUGUGAAGCGGUGGCGCUAGCCAUCGUGGAGGCAACGUUGAAAUACCACCCUGAUGUCAUUGCGGUUCUAACCUUGGCCCCUAUAGCGGGGUUGGGGACAGUGCAUGGUAGGCAGUUUGACUGGGGCGGUCUCCUCCCAAAGAGUAACGGAGGAGCUCGAAGGUACGCUAGGUACGGUCGGACAUCGUGCUGAUAGUGCAAUGGCACAAGCGUGCUUGACUGCGAGACUGACAAGUCGAGCAGGUGCGAAAGCAGGACAUAGUGAUCCGGUGGUUCUGAAUGGAAGGGCCAUCGCCCAACGGAUAAAAGGUACGCCGGGGAUAACAGGCUGAUUCCUCCCAAGAGUUCAUAUCGACGGGGGAGUUUGGCACCUCGAUGUCGGCUCAUCACAUCCUGGGGCUGUAGCCGGUCCCAAGGGUAUGGCUGUUCGCCAUUUAAAGUGGUACGUGAGCUGGGUUUAAAACGUCGUGAGACAGUUUGGUCCCUAUCUGCCGUGGGCGUUGGACGUUUGAGGGGGGCUGCUCCUAGUACGAGAGGACCGGAGUGGACGAACCUCUGGUGUACCGGUUAUCACGCCAGUGGUAUUGCCGGGUAGCUAAGUUCGGGAGAGAUAAGCGCUGAAAGCAUCUAAGUGCGAAACUUGCCCCAAGAUGAGACGUCCCUGGAGGUUAACUCCACUAAAGGGUCGCGGAAGACCACCGCGUUGAUAGGUCGGGUGUGGAAGCGCAGUAAUGCGUUAAGCUAACCGAUACUAAUUGCCCGUGCGGCUUGAUCCU